GACAGAGGAUGCAAGCGUUAUCCGGAAUGAUUGGGCGUAAAGCGUCUGUAGGUGGCUUUUUAAGUCCGCUCUGAAAGUCCGGGGCUCAACCCCGGGAGGCGGGCGGAUACUGUCGGGCUAGAGUCCGGAAGAGGCGAGUGGAAUUCCUGGUGUAGCGGUGAAAUGCGCAGAUAUCAGGAGGAACACCGAUGGUCGAAGGCAGGUCUCUGGGCAUUAACUGACGCUGAGGAGCGAAAGCUGGGGAGCGAACAGG
rnacentral:rRNA from 1 species